UACAGAGGUCCCAAGCGUUGUUCGGAUUCACUGGGCGUAAAGGGCGCGUAGGCGGUCGGGUAAGUUUGAUGUGAAAUCUCCGGGCUUAACCCGGAAACUGCAUUGAAUACUAUCUUACUCGAGGUUUGGAGGGGGGACUGGAAUUCUCGGUGUAGCAGUGAAAUGCGUAGAUAUCGAGAGGAACACCAGUGGCGAAGGCGAGUCCCUGGACAGCACCUGACACUGAGGCACGAAAGCUAGGGGAGCAAACAGG
rnacentral:rRNA from 1 species